UUCGUAUGAGAAGAAGCUUGGCCGGGACU
rnacentral:piRNA from 1 species